rnacentral:rRNA from 1 species
GACGAACGCUGGCGGCGUGCUUAACACAUGCAAGUCGAACGGAAAGGCCCUGCUUUUGUGGGGUGCUCGAGUGGCGAACGGGUGAGUAACACGUGAGUAACCUGCCCUUGACUUUGGGAUAACUUCAGGAAACUGGGGCUAAUACCGGAUAGGAGCUCCUGCUGCAUGGUGGGGGUUGGAAAGUUUCGGCGGUUGGGGAUGGACUCGCGGCUUAUCAGCUUGUUGGUGGGGUAGUGGCUUACCAAGGCUUUGACGGGUAGCCGGCCUGAGAGGGUGACCGGCCACAUUGGGACUGAGAUACGGCCCAGAGUCCUACGGGAGGCAGCAGGGGGGAAUAUUGCACAGUGGGCGGAAGCCUGAUGCAGAAACGCCGCGUGCGGGAUGACGGCCUUCGGGUUGUAAACCGCUUUCGCCUGUGACGAAGCGUGAGUGACGGUAAUGGGUAAAGAAGCACCGGCUAACUACGUG